rnacentral:rRNA from 1 species
AGUGAACGCUGGCGGUAGGCCUAACACAUGCAAGUCGAACGGCAGCACAGUAAGAGCUUGCUCUUACGGGUGGCGAGUGGCGGACGGGUGAGGAAUACAUCGGAAUCUACUUUUUCGUGGGGGAUAACGUAGGGAAACUUACGCUAAUACCGCAUACGACCUACGGGUGAAAGCAGGGGAUCUUCGGACCUUGCGCGAUUGAAUGAGCCGAUGUCGGAUUAGCUAGUUGGCGGGGUAAAGGCCCACCAAGGCGACGAUCCGCAGCUGGUCUGAGAGGAUGAUCAGCCACACUGGAACUGAGACAGGGUCAAGACGCCUAAGGGAGGCAGCAGUGGGGAAUAUUGGACAGUGGGCGCAAGCCUGGUCCAGCCAUACCGCGUGUGUGAAGAAGGCCUUCGGGUUGUAAAGCCCUUUUGUUGGGAAAGAAAAGCAGCAGGUUAAUACCACGCUGUUCUGACGGUACCCAAAGAAUAAGCACCGGCUAACUUCGUG